UCCCUGGUGGCUCAGAGGUUAAAGCGUCUGCCUGCAAUGCGGGAGACCUGGGUUUGAUCCCUGGGUUGGGAA
rfam:Ovis aries breed Texel chromosome 10, whole genome shotgun sequence.